rnacentral:lncRNA from 1 species
UCCAUACAAUAGACAUAGAUAUACUCUAUGUCAACUAGUUGGCUAACAAAAGGAAUUCAUUGAUACAUUAUUGAAUCUUGAGAAAAUAGAACAUUUUGAAAUUUGGAUCAAUUUAUAAUUUGGGUCAUAGUUUCUGGACUUCUAAUGAAUUAACUUAUGUGUUUGCUGUGCCAGACGAGGACCUGAUCUAAGCUAAGCUAAAGCCAAAUUUAGGCCAACUUAUAGGGCUAUGUUGGUCCCAUUUAACAUGAAGACAAUUCCAAAACAAAAUAACUAAGUUGAAUUAAGUUUAGAGACUAGCAAAAUACAACUGCUUCCCAAAAUUACAUGUCUGAAGCCCUGCAACUAUAGCAUGGGCUUCCGCCUAAGUGGGAUCAACCACUCCUCCAAUCUGUUGUGCAAUCAGCUUCAAGGCGUGACCUUGCGGGGGUCGCCAUUGCAUCGUUUGCAGCACCCUUAGAACCAUAGGCCUAUGGAUCUGAAAGUCUCGACACAUAGUCCCGUGCCACUGACCCUUUAAGACCGCACAUUCCAUAGAUACCAAACCAAGACUAGCAACCUCGUGAAGACAUUCUUCUCAAGCAACCUCAUAGCAUAUUCGAGCCAGUCAAUGCAGCUCACAACAUCAACAGACAGCAUAUUAUCGUUAAUACCAACUAAUAGCAAAAUUUACGCCAUGUAAAAUAGUGAGCCUCUCUGAUGCAUAUGUUUAAACUAAGCACAUAAUAAUAUAUUUUAUUAAGACCCUCAAAAGGGUUACAAAAUCAAAUACAACCAAAUAUAACAACCCAAAACAGAACACACUUAAAGAAAAAACACACAAAAGGAACCAUAACCAGCUCGGAUGUUCACCUUAAAAACACAUAAAGUUAAAGACUGGAUAAAACAUACACACAAAUCCAAACCAGAAAAGAAACAGACAAGAAGUAGCAGCAUAUAAGAACCUCAACACUCAGGAAACUUAACAUCCUCACAGAGCUACCACCAUGAUUUGAAAAAAGAAUCACGUUUCAACCCACCCUAAGCCAAUUCCUUAUCAAAUUUAACAAAAUACACAUCUCAGAUCUCCAUAGUUCUCUUGUAUAUUAAAAUUAAAAUAUACAAAUAAUUUGUACCAUCCGCAUAAAUGUAUUUAAUAUAUCAUAAUAUUAUCAAAAUAUUGUAAUUUAUUUAUUAUAUUUAUUUAUAAUCAAAAUAAAAUAUGAUUUAUUUAUUCAAAUUAGAUUUUACAAACAACUUAUAUUAAUUAAGUAAAAAGUAUUUAACAUUGAUAUUUCAUAUGCAUAAUCUGAACCUGAAGCAACUUAAACAUGAAAUUACCCAAACUCAAAAAAAUCCCAACCCAUUGUCGAACAAAUGUCAUGUCAUAAAUAAAUAAAAACAGGUGGAAGAAACAAAGGCAUCAUCUUCAUUUUCAAAUUAAGAGGCACUAAAAAUGAAUAUCAGAUUCUAAGCCGGUGUAUAAGAUUCAGUCUAUCCUCCUAGUUCUGCAUUUAAGAUGAUAAAUGCCACACCAACAUACAAUAUAGCAUUAGGAAAGCUAGAGUAAAACAAAUCCCCAAACAGCAUCUUGUUUUGGCCAUUGAUUGAAAGAACAACAUAAUAUGGUUCCAGCUACAAAAACAUUUCUUGAAACAAUGUUGAAUCUUUUAAAAGCUGUAACAAAUUGAAACUAAAAACCAGAAGUUCUAAACUAAAAUUUUAAGACAAUUGAAAUAAGAAAAUGUAAGGCCAUUCUUACAACUUUGUACAAAUUAGGUCUUUAACCUACAAUCUGAAAAUAAGCAAAAAGGGUUAAAAUGCAAGAUUCAAACUUCACAUUUAUUGAAUAUCCCAAACCGUCCAGGGUCUUUUAGAUUUGUCAAUAGUCCACAACAAAGCAAUUGCAAAAUCAGAUUCAAUAGUUAAAAGAAACCUUGUGCAUCCAUUCUGAAGCAGCAAUUUAAGCAUACCAUCACCCUAUCAGCAUACCCCUGACUUUGAUGCACUCAACAGCAGCUUGAUGGAGGUACCUCCAAGGGCUCGUAAGGCAGCUAUGUAGCAGCAAUUUAAGCAUACCAUCACCGGGUGCGGAAUAGCCUUUCUCAAGGUAGUAAUCAAACUGGUUUUCAGGCUUCCAAUUUGCCUUUGAAUGUUAAUGGGGUUAAAUCAAACCAGCACCAGUUAAUUCAGCAGCAAACUCAACAUAACCACCAGCACCACUUUACCUGCUGUAGGAUUUGGAUGUCAGAUGCCUUUACAAAGUGGUGGUCAGUUGGGGAGUCCUGGAAGUAGAGGGGGAAUUAGUGAGAUGGGGGGCCAGGGACUAAGUAAUGGUCUUAUUCAGGGUGGAAAGACGGGGAUGGUUGAUUUAGGAGGGCCUGUCAGCAUUGCAGCUGGAUCACCUGCUAACCACUUCUCAUUAGAUGGGAUAGGGAAGAGUAGUGCAGAUACUUCCUCAGUCUCGCCAGUUCCUUAUGUGUUCAAGGAAUUUCGAGGGGUAGGAAAUGCACUGCUGUGGAGAAGGUUGCCGAGAGGCAGCAAAGGAGAAUGAUAAAGAACAGAGAAUCAGCAGCAAGAUAUCAAGCUCGAAAGCAGGUGUAUACACGUCUUAUUUACUUCAUUCUAGUGUAAAGAAAGACGAUUAAGGAUAUGCAUUGUUAUCAUCAUUAAACUCAAUAAUAUCAAUCUGCUCAUUUGAUAAUGUCUCACGGCUAUGCCGACUCCAGAAUGAGGAUUUUGUUCAACUUUUGACAACCACCAUACCCUACCAGUCCUGUCAAUUUUGAUACCAACCAAAAACGAAAACAAAUCCAGCAAUCCACCAACAUAGUCACCCUAGUCCUUUUACACCAAGUGACAACCAAUGUCAUCGCCAGACAAGAUCCCCAUUACAGCAAGGAAAACUUUAGUAUAGAAAAAAAAAUUGGAUAAGGGAAGGACAACCAAGGCUUGGCCAUACAAGACCAAUACCAAAUUAUGGUUUGUCUUGCAUAUUAAGGUAUGCCCCUAUUUCUAGCUCUCCUAUCAAUCCUUCAACACUAAAUAACAGAAGAUGGAAAGCAAAUCUAAACAUCCCCCUGCAGUAGUCAUUACUGAGUUAAGGAAUGAAAAUGGCUCAUGUUGGAUAAACAUGCACUCAGUGCACAUGAAAUUCCUGCAGCAGUACAAAGCUAACCAGUGCUUGUGAGCCUGAUGAAAUUUUCAACAUAUAAAAAUGUCGUCAAAACAUGCUUAAGUUGAAAGAUGAUGGGACCAAGAAAAGCAUAUAUACUUAAACCACAAAUUUCUUAGGGAUAAUCAAUGUAAAAAAAAUUCAUAAAAUUAAUAAUGCCGGCGAAUUUUGCAUAUGAAAAGUGCAUCGACUAACAAGUAGAAAUUGAUUCAUUUUUAUUCUCAAUUUAUACACAUUAGAAAUCACCCCAUCAAAACAUUCAUCCUCCCCUUCUAAAUCCACCAAUUUUCCUACCUUCAAGCUACUUUACAUAAUAAAAAUCAUCAAUCCUAUACAAAUAUUUUAAAAAAAAUCAGGAUAAUUUGAGCAUAUACAAAAUUAAACCGAGAUUGAAUAUGACAAAUCAUGUGAAAGUAAAUAUGCAUGAAAUUAAAAUGAAAAUUAAGGUUCUUACAAAUAAAAUAAUUUGAUGACAGUUUUCAAUUCCGUAACCCUGGAAACAAAUGAUCAAGGUGCCUUCAAUCGGUUCUGUUACAAGGUGGGUCUCGGUUCUUGGGCCUUCGUAAUCGCUUGCCGCCUGCCAAGGCUUCGAUUGCGGCGAUAUCAUCUUCAAUCUCUUCCCUCGUAAGUACAACCGAGAACCGCCGUUUCUUUUGUUUGUUCUUUGCUGGCCGAUCUGUGGGUGCUCAAGGUGGUUGUUGAGUAUCGCUUUCAUCAUCCUUUCCGGUGACAGAGGGAUUAUCCGGAAACUUGGUAUUGUUCUUGACAUCAAACUUUGAGGGAUUAACUAGGGGCGAUUUCUGAUUUGAAGGGUACUCGGUAAUGGGAUUGAGAUCCUCUUUUGCGGCAACGGAAAGAUGAUGGAGAAUCUUGAUACGAAGUUUCAACACAUUUUUAGUUGAAUUUUGAAUUGAAAACGAUUAUAAGUGGCAGUAACAAAAACAGAGUUGGGAACGACGGGAUUUUGAGAAGGUACCGAGAAAUUGGGAGAAGGGUGAGAGAGGGGAAUGAGUGAAGCCAUGUUUCUUUCAAUUUCAAAAACCUUUUUUUUUUAAAACCCUAAAAAUAUGGUGAAUUUAAUUUUU